rnacentral:rRNA from 1 species
UCCUACGGGAGGCAGCAGUGGGGAAUAUUGCACAAUGGGGGAAACCCUGAUGCAGCCAUGCCGCGUGUGUGAAGAAGGCCUUCGGGUUGUAAAGCACUUUCAGCGAGGAGGAAAGGUUGAUACCUAAUACGUAUCAGCUGUGACGUUACUCGCAGAGAGA